rnacentral:rRNA from 1 species
AGAGUUUGAUCAUGGCUCAGAACGAACGCUGGCGGCAGGCCUAACACAUGCAAGUCGAGCGCCCGCAAGGGAGCGGCAGACGGGUGAGUAACGCGUGGGAACGUGCCCUUUGGUUCGGAAUAUUCCCGGGAAACUGGGAGCAAAACCGGAUAAGCCCUUCGGGGAAAAGUUUACGCCAAAGGAUCGGCCCGCGUUAGAUUAGGUAGUUGGUGGGGUAACGGCCUACCAAGCCUACGAUCUAUAGCUGAUCUGAGAGGAUGAUCAGCCACACUGGGACUGAGACACGGCCCAGACUCCUACGGGAGGCAGCAGUGGGGAAUCUUGGACAAUGGGCGCAAGCCUGAUCCAGCCAUGCCGCGUGGAUGACUGAAGGCCCUAGGGUUGUAAAGUCCUUUCGACGGGGACGAUAAUGACGGUACCCGUAGAAGAAGCCCCGGCUAACUUCGUGCCAGCAGCCGCGGUAAUACGAAGGGGGCUAGCGUUGUUCGGAUUUACUGGGCGUAAAGGGCGCGUAGGCGGAUUUUUAAGUCGGGGGUGAAAUCCCGGAGCUCAACUCCGGAACUGCCUUCGAUACUGGAAGUCUGGAGCACGGUAGAGGUGAGUGGAAUUCCGAGUGUAGAGGUGAAAUUCGUAGAUAUUCGGAGGAACACCAGUGGCGAAGGCGGCUCACUGGACCGUUGCUGACGCUGAGGCGCGAAAGCGUGGGGAGCAAACAGGAUUAGAUACCCCGGUAGU